GAGGUUGUUGCUCAGUGGUAGAGUGCUCGCCUACCAUGCGCAGGACCCUGGGUUCAAUCCUCAGCACCACA
rnacentral:tRNA from 1 species